GACGAACGCUGGCGGCGUGCUUAACACAUGCAAGUCGAGCGGUAAGGCCCUUUCGGGGGUACACGAGCGGCGAACGGGUGAGUAACACGUGGGUGACCUGCCCUUAGCUCUGGGAUAAGCCUGGGGAGACUGGGUCUAAUACCGGAUAUGACUCCAUAACGCAUGUUGUGGGGUGAAAGCCUUGUGCGGCUAGGGAUGGGCCCGCGGCCUAUCAG
rnacentral:rRNA from 1 species